UAAAUAUUCAUCAGCGGAGGCUAAUCCCCUUGAGAACAAAGACUCAAAGUCAUUAUCUUUGAUAAGCUGAUGAGCCUGUUAUAUAUGAGCUUCUUACAUAGUGGGGUACACUUGAGUAAUUUCCAAAUCAGCAAGACUGUGUAACUACAGGUUGCUGAGACGGUAAUCCGAAAGACAUUUUUUUUUGUAUGUGACCUUUUUCUCCUUCUAUCCUUCGGUUUUUAAUUUAUAGUUUUUAUUUCCCAACUAUUUCCUCUACAAAAAUGUGAGCUAACCUUUUAUGUUUUCGAGAGCUCCGAUCUCAUCCCUAGCGGAUGCCACUUCACUACACUAGAUGACACAUGGUGAGGGCCCCUAAGUAGGUGAUUCUUUAUAAAACAUCACCUCCUUCAUUUUAGUCCCAUAAAAUUGAAAAAAAUCCCCAAAAACAGUCAUAGAGAAAGGUCCUAAAUUCUCCAUAGAUGUUGAUGUUUUCAAGUUAGAAGUUGAACGAAAGUUGCUCUAUGCUGCGAGCUCGUUAUUUUGUUAUAAUUUUCCCCAUUGAAUUUGUAGAAUAUCUCUUCGGGUAUUGUGGGUUACAACUGUGUAUUGAUUUUGUGGCAAUGUUUCAGUUGUGUUUAUCAAGGUCUCGACGGAUGACCAGAUAGGCCUUCCAAGUAGCAUUGUCAAACUCCAAUAGGUUGGAUAGCUUAUUUAUUUUGGAGUUGCCAGAGUUUCUACAGUUUUUGUGCCUUUUAUGGUAAAUAUUUCUUAGGUAGGUUAGGUAUAAUACCCCGUACCUUUUUCUAGCGCGAAAUCAUCUCGAGAAUGUUAGAACUUGCUUUGAAAUAUGAAUCCAUUUUUGUACAUGUGGUAUUCCUAAGAUUUUCACUUUUUGUCACGUGGAAAAUCAAAUAAGUUUUCCAUUGAUACCAAUUUCAUCAAUAUCCAGUGUCAAAUGAGAAAGUUAUGGUCGAAAUCCAGAAGGCAGUAAGACCUUCUAGGUAUGACGAGACAGGCCGAUGGACCAUCAGACAAGCGAUAGACCAUCAACCAUGACCGUCGCAUCGAGGCAGUGAGCCAGCUUUCUAGAUGAGUACGACGGAGAUUCCGACGGAUCAUCAGACUAGCGGCGGACCGUCGCACCCCACCAUCUCAUCGAGGUAGUAAGCUCCAGUUCUGUCUUAGUCCAACAGACCAUCGACCCAGCAUGGACCAUCGUACCCCACCGUCGUAUAUCCUGCUUAGUAUUUUUAAGUCAUUUUAACAGGGGUAUUUUUAUCUUUUACCACCCACUUAUAUAUACCUAGUUAUAUCCGACCUCAGCUCAUUUGUUCAUUAUUAUUUCACAACAACAAAAUUCGAGUUUUCUCUCUAAAAUUAAUCCCCAAGAAUAAAAUCCAAAUCUUUUUCAAGAACUAAAAGAUUCCAAUCCUUAAAGUUCAAGAACUUCCAGAAACUCAACCCAUGUAUGCAUAAUGUUCAUUCAUGGACUUCUUUCGUCCAUGAAGCCCAGGAAUCUCUUUUCUAAGUUAAAGUUUAUGGAUUUUCUUUAUGAAUUUAAUGAUUGGGCUGCUCUUGUUCAUGUUGAUAAUGAGUAAUUGAAUUCUAUUUCAUGUUGGGUAACAAAUUGUAUGUGGAUUUGAUUAGUAUAGAUGUAAUGUCAUGUAAACCUAUGAUUAAACUCUUGAAUGAUGAAAUUACAUUUGAAUCAUGAUG